UGGCUGAUGAAUGGCAUCUAGAGCCACUGUAAUGGUUUCUGGUAACGUUUCAGCCCCCUAUGGUUGCACUGAAGGACCAAGACCGUCAACUCAACAGCUCCACCAGAAACAAAGUGAAAAUGGACAGUCAGUGGAGCACGUGUGAAAUAAGCCAAGCCGGGGCUCUGUUCGCCUCCUGUUGUCCAGAGUAUUUGGCCCAUACCAGGCACAGGCACGGCUCUGAAUCAUCACUGUCCCAUAACGGAGAAUCUGGAGAGAGGUGUUGAGUUUCUAGAAAGUGGUGAAGCUGCAGCCUAAGAACUCAAGAGGUAAAACAGUGGUUUUAACAUACCUCUCAACCUCCAAAAAAGAAAAAAGGAGGAAAAAAAGAAAACAAACAAACAAACAAACAAAAAAACCCACCCUGCUGAAGAAAACCCCAGAGUCUCCUGUGACUUCUGUAUCUCAAAAUGCUACCUUGAAAUAUUUAGGAACUUGGCCACGUUUUUAUAUGAGUCAGGUUAUAAAGAGGCUUUAGAGAGGAAACAAGAACAAAUGCUCAUCUGUUGAAGCCAUACUAAACCUACUGACAUCAAGAUAAAAUUGCCCAGCCACUUUGUCACUGCAUUUGAUAGACUUCCUUAUCAGUAACUCAAAGACAGUGGUCGUGGCUUACCAAGAGUUAAUUUUUAUCUGAUUCCUACUGUGAAAGUACGAUGAUUUUCUACAUCAAAAUUUGUGACCCAUCCCCACUUGAAUGUUUAUAAAAGGUCCAGCACAUUGUGGGUGCUGCUGUAAACAAAAUACUAAUAAAAAUAUGUCAUUUGAGCUCUGGUAAAAUGCUGCCAACACUUGU